rnacentral:rRNA from 1 species
CAAUAGCGUAUAUUAAAGUUGUUGCGGUUAAAAGCUCGUAGUUGGAUUUCUGCUGAGGACGACCGGUCCGCCCUCCGGGUGAGCAUCUGGUUCGGCCUUGGCAUCUUCUUGGUGAACGUAUCUGCACUUGACUGUGUGGUGCGGUACCCAGGACUUUUACUUUGAGGAAAUUAGAGUGUUCAAAGCAGGCUUAUGCCGUUGAAUAUAUUAGCAUGGAAUAAUGAGAUAGGACUUUUUUGCUAUUUUGUUGGUUUGCGCAAAGAGGUAAUGAUUAAUAGGGACAGUUGGGGGUAUUCGUAUUCCAUUGUCAGAGGUGAAAUUCUUGGAUUUUUGGAAGACGAACUACUGCGAAAGCAUUUACCAAGGAUGUUUUCAUUAAUCAAGAACGAAAGUUAGGGGAUCGAAGACGAUUAGAUACCAU